GCCGAAUGUUAAAGAGAAGGAGGAGGUUUGAAACAUUUCAAUUUUAACCCUUUGAUUGGUUAGGUAUGAUUCAUGAUAUUUGAACUACGACUUCAACAUCCAGUCAACAAUCCCGAACUCGUCAAACAUUUCCUACAGCAAAGGCCAUGUAGACGUAGAUUGAUGGAUGAUCAGCAUGGGAUGUCCUAAAAUUAUUUAUUGGACUUCUAAUUUCAAUUUGACUCAGCUCUUAAUUGGAUCACUGAAGGGAACAAACUCGCUACUUAUUAGAAGCCUAAAUCGUCCACUAAUGGAGGAAAAGAGCCCAACUCAGCUAAAGAAGCCCAACCAUCCAUAAAAUAAUUAAACUAGACACCCAAAACAUGUUAAAAAAAUCACAAAUCAGCCAUAAUAACUUCCCCAUGUGACCGUUCAAGUCCUUUCCAAGAAUCAAGCUUUGGCUAGCUAAAUUUAGCAAAGUCAUCAACCUUCCUUCCUCCACUCAAGGGGUCAGCCAUGCAUGAGAGAAAAAUGGGGGAUUGACAUGUUAUUUUUAGUAAACUUAAGGGGCUCCUCACAAGUAUAAAUACCCCUAGAAAUUCACCCAUUUCAUGCAUCCCUCACUCACCAUCUCUUCUCUCUUUUCUCUUCCCAUUUUCCAUUUUCUUCAAAAAAGUUUGCAAGGCUUGAGAACAGCCCAAUUUGGCAUAUUAUGAUUUUCCAACUUGUUUGUCAUAGUAAGAAACGAAGAACAAAGGAAGAGCAAAGUGAAUUGUGUCUCGGAGAACCACUGGAAACGGCU